rnacentral:rRNA from 1 species
UACGGAGGGUGCGAGCGUUGUCCGGAAUUACUGGGCGUAAAGCGCGUGUAGGCGGCUAAGUAAGUCGGGCGUGAAAUCCCACGGCUCAACCGUGGAAGUGCACUCGAAACUGCAUAGCUAGAGUCCUGGAGAGGAAGGUGGAAUGCUUGGUGUAGAGGUGAAAUUCGUAGAUAUCAAGCGGAACACCGGUGGCGAAGGCGGCCUUCUGGACAGUGACUGACGCUGAGACGCGAAAGCGUGGGGAGCAAACAGG